ACCCGAGCCCCCUCCACGACCCCCGUGCCCCGCACGUCCUCGUCCGUGCUCGUGGGCAGGCUCUGUCCUCCAACCAAGCUCCCCUCGACCCUGUUUCCUCGACCCGGAGUCACCUGCGACCCCUCUGCGCCCCGGGGCACCCUCAGGCUCGCUCUGGCCCUAGCCCGCCCGCCCGGGUGUCAGAAGCGUCCCCGCCGUGCCCGGCACUCCCUCCAGCCUCCGCCGUGUCCCCCGCUCCCUCCGGGGGCCCCUAGACCCCUCGAAGCUCCCGAGUCACCUGCGGCCCCGCCGCGCCCCGCCCCUCCUACGAGCGCCCGGAGGCCUCGGCCCCACCCUGGCCCCGCGCCCCCGUCGCCUCCUCCCCUGCGGGUCCCCCACAGCGUGCGCACCCCGCCCCUCGUCCCUCGGCUCCCCCGCAGCGUCCCCCGCCCCGGUCCCCGCCACGCCCCAGGGGCCUCCACGCCCCCGCACGUCCCGAGCGCACCAGCAACCCGGAGACACCCUCCCCGGACUCCUGCCCAGGACCCCGCAGCCCCGCGCCCCCCACACUUCCUGCGCACUCCGGCAGCCCGGCGCCCCCUCCCCAGAUCCCUGCCCAGCCCCCUCAGUCCCGCCCCCCCAUACCUUCUGCGCGCCCCCACACCUCCUGCGCACUCCGGCAGCCCGGCGCCCCCUCCCCCGAUCCCUGCCCAGCCCCCGCAGCCGCGCGCCCCUCACACCUUCUGCGCGCCCCCCACACCUCCUGCGCUCCGGCAGCCUCUGGCCGGGCAGGCGCUGGGAGGCCCCGCGGCCCGCGCCCCGCGAUUGGCCGCUCGCCGGAAGCCAGGCCCCACCCCCGCUCGGCCGCAGGGGCGCAGGUCCCCACCUCCGCCGCAGACCCCGCCCCCCCGGCCAGCGCCAGAGGGAGUCGCGACAGCCCUCCGUCCACGCCCCUGCCCCCACCCCACCACGAAGCCCCCUCCUUGCCAAAUCCUGGAGCCCCAGGUUUGGAGGUUUGCACAUUUAACCUUCAACCAGCCGGCUCCAAAGUAA
rnacentral:lncRNA from 1 species